AUUGAACGCUGGCGGUAUGCCUAACACAUGCAAGUCGAACGAGUGGCGGACGGGUGAGUAAUGCAUAGGAAUCUACCUUUUAGUCUAGGAUAACUACCCGAAAGGGUGGCUAAUACUGGAUGACAAGUGAUGAGCCCAUGUGGGAUUAGCUAGUUGGUGGGGUAAUGGCUCACAAAGGCGACGAUCUCUAGCUGGUUUGAGAGGUAGAUCAGCCACACUGGGACUGAGACACGGCCCAGACUCCUACGGGAGGCAGCAGUGGGGAAUAUGGCGCAAUGGGGGCAACCCUGACGCAGCCAUGCCGCGUGAGUGAAGAAGGCCUUCGGGUUGUAAAGUUCUUUCGGUAGCGAGACGUUAACUACAGAAGAAGCACCGGCUAACUCCGUGCCAGCCGCCGCGGUAAUAC
rnacentral:rRNA from 1 species